GCUAGCUACAGGCUUAACACAUGCAAGUCGAGGGGCAGCAUUUCAGUUUGCUUGCAAACUGGAGAUGGCGACCGGCGCACGGGUGAGUAACACGUAUCCAACCUGCCGAUAACUCGGGGAUAGCCUUUCGAAAGAAAGAUUAAUACCCGAUGGUAUAAUCAGACCGCAUGGUCUUGUUAUUAAAGAAUUUCGGUUAUCGAUGGGGAUGCGUUCCAUUAGGCAGUUGGUGAGGUAACGGCUCACCAAACCUUCGAUGGAUAGGGGUUCUGAGAGGAAGGCCCCCCACAUUGGAACUGAGACACGGUCCAAACUCCUACGGGAGGCAGCAGUGAGGAAUAUUGGUCAAUGGGCGCAGGCCUGAACCAGCCAAGUAGCGUGAAGGAUGACUGCCCUAUGGGUUGUAAACUUCUUUUAUAUGGGAAUAAAGUUUUCCACGUGUGGAAUUUUGUAUGUACCAUAUGAAUAAGGAUCGGCUAACUCCGUGCCAGCAGCCGCGGUAAUACGGAGGAUCCGAGCGUUAUCCGGAUUUAUUGGGUUUAAAGGGAGCGUAGGUGGACAGUUAAGUCAGUUGUGAAAGUUUGCGGCUCAACCGUAAAAUUGCAGUUGAUACUGGCUGUCUUGAGUACAGUAGAGGUGGGCGGAAUUCGUGGUGUAGCGGUGAAAUGCUUAGAUAUCACGAAGAACUCCGAUUGCGAAGGCAGCUCACUGGACUGCAACUGACACUGAUGCUCGAAAGUGUGGGUAUCAAACAGGAUUAGAUACCCUGGUAGUCCACACAGUAAACGAUGAAUACUCGCUGUUUGCGAUAUACAGUAAGCGGCCAAGCGAAAGCAUUAAGUAUUCCACCUGGGGAGUACGCCGGCAACGGUGAAACUCAAAGGAAUUGACGGGGGCCCGCACAAGCGGAGGAACAUGUGGUUUAAUUCGAUGAUACGCGAGGAACCUUACCCGGGCUUAAAUUGCAUUUGAAUAUAUUGGAAACAGUAUAGCCGUAAGGCAAAUGUGAAGGUGCUGCAUGGUUGUCGUCAGCUCGUGCCGUGAGGUGUCGGCUUAAGUGCCAUAACGAGCGCAACCCUUAUCUUUAGUUACUAACAGGUCAUGCUGAGGACUCUAGAGAGACUGCCGUCGUAAGAUGUGAGGAAGGUGGGGAUGACGUCAAAUCAGCACGGCCCUUACGUCCGGGGCUACACACGUGUUACAAUGGGGGGUACAGAAGGCAGCUACCUGGUGACAGGAUGCUAAUCCCAAAAGCCUCUCUCAGUUCGGAUCGAAGUCUGCAACCCGACUUCGUGAAGCUGGAUUCGCUAGUAAUCGCGCAUCAGCCAUGGCGCGGUGAAUACGUUCCCGGGCCUUGUACACACCGCCCGUCAAGCCAUGAAAGCCGGGGGUACCUGAAGUACGUAACCGCAAGGAGCGUCCUAGGGUAAAACUGGUA
rnacentral:rRNA from 1 species